AAGGCAAAUUAAGUAAAAUGAGGAAGAGAAGGACGAGGAAGGUGCAGACAAGGAGGAAGAAAGGGACAGAAGACAGGAUAGUAAAAAUAGAGAGAAACUGUGUGCUUCUGAUUCAAACAGAACCUUUUUUUCAUUGUCCUGCAUGAAUCACCAGAGUGGCCUUUAAGUGGGCUGUUGCAUAAAGGACAUUUAGUUUCAUGAGCUCACUGAAUAAUAACAGAGGCAGGGAAGAGUGCACCUCCGAGUGUGACAGUGUUUAAUUAACAAUACUUGAGCAUGUGUGAGAGAGAUAAUAUAGAGGUAAUAAAUAAACAUUCAGAAUGUAAAAAAAAAAAAUGCAGUAGGCCUAUGUAGGUUAUGUUUACACUCAGGCACCAGUUUAUUACAAGAAGGUACAACAAUCAGUACAUGGAAUUAGAUCGCCAGUACAAUGAGUCACAUGGCUGUGAUUUGCUAUAAAAAGUAGGCCGACAGGUUUCAAGGGGUUCCUUUACUACUAAAUAAAGUAAUAGGAUAAACUAAAUUAGGGGCCUGAGCAAUUUGGAGCAGGAUUAAGUUUAACUGAAUCUCCUGGGCACAUACAAACAAGACUAAGAGUCUACAGCCAUGCUAACGUCUCUGUGAUGCCGUAUGUAGGCAUAGCUAAAUGCUAACGUCAGCAUGCUAAUGUAGCAUCAAAGAUACUCUGGUAACAUAGCUGAAAAGGUUCAAGUUAAAUCCUGCUAAACGGGACAACGGUGCAACCUGCUGUUGUAAAAUGAUACCUGCAUUGAGCGGUAAAGCUACGGAGGAUUUGCCAUAAGUCUGGUGGGCUUUAAAAGGGUUGCAUAAGCCACAGAGGCCUAUCACAGAUAAAGUGAUGUUGAGUGAUGAAACAGACAGUGAGGAACUGGAGAAGAGCUGUUGGCAGGUUUGGGGUCGGUCAUGACACUCCCAUACGAAGUAGGAAAGAGUCAGAAAAAUAAAGCAAACACACACACACACACCACAGCUCACACAAUCCCCUCACAACAGACAUUUUCUCAAAAAAUGUUUCAGUCAUUGUGAACCAAACCUACAUAAUAAUUUUGUAUUUUUAGUAGCCUGUAAGGAUAUGUUACAUCAUUGAUCCCUGUAAUGAAAUUCUCAUUUUGCCACCUUCUGCCCUUCCUGUUUUGCUUCGCCUCCAGGGAGGUCAAAGGUCAGGGUCAGACGCACUCAAGUGCUCCUGGAGCUGGCACAGCUGCAGUGUCUUGCUGAAGAGCUGCCUCAGCGGGGUGAACGCAGCAGGGACCUGGCCUCUGGACAUCCAGAUGGAGGACGGUCUCUCUCACCAUGAAGCCAUCCUGCCGCCCUGCUGAUGUUAUAUAGACCUGUUCACUCCUACAUACCGGGAUGUUUUUGCUGUCAGUGGGCAAUGAAGCAGUAGGACGUGACUGCUUAACCUCACAUGGAAAAGACUAACUGUGCUUGUAAAAUAGUUGUGCUGCAUAUUAUUAUUUAAGAGUAACUUAACACCAGGCUAAAAAGCAAAUUUUCACUGCCCUCUCUGGUUGAAAGUUUCAAGUCUGUUGCGCCACACAGCAUGACUGAUGGAAUUGGUUGUGUGUGGCCAGAAGCAUACUCUGUUACACUUGUAACCACACCUGCAGUACACUAAUACGUCUGCAUUACUGCAGAAAGAUUUUCAGCUGCUAAAAUUGUUUUUUUUAAAAGCCAGAAGGAUUUUGAGUCCAGAGGGUGUCAAUCUGCAAAUUAAGAGUUAUUAGGAAAGUCACAUUUUAUCUUUGGCUAACACAAUUGGUAGAUGAUUGUUGUUGGUUAAAAUGUCAGUUCACCCAAAUUACAAAAAAUGUUUUCUCGCUUACCACUGGCCAUCAGCAUCUAGCCAUGCAGAUAUUUUUGGUUUUUAGCUUGCAGGUCCCUUCUUGACCUUGGAAACAGCAGGUUGACAAAAAAAAAAAAUCCUCAACAUGGUCAAACUUACUUUUUGUUUCCAAAGCUUUAAAUCGCAUCUCGUGGCCCUCGUUAGCAGAUGGAGUUGCUCAGUUGUCGUGGAGAUAGUUAGGUUGUUAUCACGUGACCCAAGUAUGGAAUUGCGGUCACAUGAUAACAGCUGGUCAUGUAUGAGUUCAUAAUCCCUGUCUCUAUCUGAAACAAGUACAUUGGACCUUCUUUGUAAAAGGUUUGGUUUUAUUUGCCCUGGUUUUGGAAUAUCCAUAUCUGGGAUUUUCUGCCUCCACCCCAAUACAAUGGAGGUGAAUGUUUGUUCCACUGAUGUGACCUUGUGACCUGAUGUGUUUUGUGUGAUAAUAAUUAUGUUCAGCAAGAUUUGUUUUGAUGUUGCAAGCGCCUACAAUAUUCAUUAUUGAUUACUGUUUGGAAUAUGGUACCGCCUCUUGGCUACAUUGUUGUGCUUCAUUAUGUCAACAGCACUCCUGUGUUUGUAACAUUGUUCCAUCCAUACCAAAACAAAGCUGAGCAUAUUGAUUUAUUAUAUUUUCAUUAACGGGAGCGCCACAGACAAAAUUCCAUUCACCUCCACUGUAUUGCUGUGGAGGCAGAAAUCUCGGACACUGAUAUCUUAAAAACCUGGGCAAACAACACCAAAACUGUCUGCAUGGCUAAAUAAUAGAGAUAAGUGAGAAAUCGUGUUUUUCACAGGUUUUUCACGAGCAGGCCAGCAGUUUGGUUGUUUAGCACUGCUCCUCUGUUCUCAGAAGUGAGAAAUGAUCACUCACUGAUAUUGGUUGAUAACGGUUUUAAAUUACAAAAUGUGGUCCAUUGUAAAACAGCACUCGAAGAAAUGACGCUACAAAAAAAAGUAUUGCCAAGUUAGAUUUACUGAAAUGUAAAUAUAUUUUGAACGAGUAAUAGGAAUUACGUACAGUAUGUAUAUCAAAGCACUGUUAGUCAAUAAAUGCAUUCAAAAGAGUAACUGUAUGAAACACAGAUGUAAUUAAGACAUUUCUGGCAACAGUAGUGGUUAAAGCUUAUUAGCAACAAUGAGACAAGUGUCUAAAGGUGCACCUUACAGAUCCAACAUGGAUCUCAACUAGAGGUAAACACGAGGGGUUUUUUUGUAACUGUACUGGAGUAAUUAAAUGCCACUGUGUGACAUCAGCUGA